UCAACCCUCAAGCACAGCUUGGUAUUGAGUCUAUGUCAGCAAUGGCAGGCUCUAAAAUCAGUGGCGGCGCCGCUGGGUCCUGAACGUAGUAAUCUCUCUCGUUACAGGUUCUCGGCGUGCUUCUGCCAAACCCCAAACUUUCU
rnacentral:misc_RNA from 1 species